AGUGAACGCUGGCGGUAGGCCUAACACAUGCAAGUCGAACGGCAGCACAGUAAGAGCUUGCUCUUACGGGUGGCGAGUGGCGGACGGGUGAGGAAUACAUCGGAAUCUACUUUUUCGUGGGGGAUAACGUAGGGAAACUUACGCUAAUACCGCAUACGACCUACGGGUGAAAGCAGGGGAUCUUCGGACCUUGCGCGAUUGAAUGAGCCGCUGUCGGAUUAGCUAGUUGGCGGGGUAAAGGCCCACCAAGGCGACGAUCCGUAGCUGGUCUGAGAGGAUGAUCAGCCACACUGGAACUGAGACACGGUCCAGACUCCUACGGGAGGCAGCAGUGGGGAAUAUUGGACAAUGGGCGCAAGCCUGGUCCAGCCAUACCACGUGGGUGAAGGAGGCCUUCGGGUUGUAAAGCCCUUUUGUUGGGAAAGAAAAGCAGCAGGUUAAUACCCCGCUGUUCUGACGGUACCCAAAGAAUAAGCACCGGCUAACUUCGUG
rnacentral:rRNA from 1 species